CUUAUAACAACUUUUCUGAAACAAAUUGAGAUGAACUAUUGCCACAGACAGUGAGGAAGCAGCUGGAGGCAAGUCUGGCUUGAGGAACGAACCGUGCUGGGGUAUUGUGAGGUGCAAUGUGUUUGAGCCACAGAGAUGGAGUUUGUAUUGCCGCCGGAGAUGGAAUUAGCGAGUUGGAGAGCAGUCGAUGUGGAAGAGUUAAGAUGUCCUUCUACCUACCCCAGCCUCACGAGGAUGGACCUCUGUACUUUUCAACUGUGACCACUAUAAGCCUUGGCUUUCAAACUCUACUAGGUUUCUAUCAUUCCAUUACAAAAGAGAAUGAAAAGGGAGAGGAGCAGCAGAGUAUCAGUCUACAUCCCGGCAAAGGACAUGUGAGAGUGGCACUUAGUAUUAUCAAGGAUCCCUCCCAUCCAUCCAGCAUCCUCUUUGACAUUCUACAUCAGGAACAACAACAGCAAAACAAGCCCUUGCUUCCCACCCCACACACCCCAGGACAGGCCUCCACAUUUCUGGGCCUUCAGAUUCCGGUGGACUCUAACUACCAGACAUCGGAUCUUUGACUUCCCCAGCAAUCUUGCAAAGGGUCACAGACCCAGGGCGUCAGCCAUCAGGCCUCAACUCUUGGACUUUCAAUCUACUCCAGAACUAGCCAAUGACAAUGAAGUGGAGACCCCCAAAUUCUGGGCCUCAAACUCAGGUCUCACCGACUUGCGUACCUGGGAGGUCAUUGGCCCUCGUGCCUCCUGUCCGCACAGAACUUCAACCCCAGAAAAUGCUGCCAAUUCAUUCUCAUUUACUUUAGGGUGGGGGCCACCAGCCUUUAUCCUAACUGGUCUGCCAGACUGACAUUCAACCUCAGGAACUAUGUAAGUAAAUUCCACACAUUUAUUUAUUUAGAGAUACAGCUCGGUAAUAGGCCUUUCCAGCCCAACAAGGCCGUGCCACUCAACUACAUACAUGUGACCAAUUAACCUACUAACCCAUGUAUCUGGAUUGUGAGUGGAAACUGGAGCACCUGGAGGAAACCCACGUAGUCAUGGGGAGAACAUACAAACUGCUUGCAGUGUCAGGAAUUGAACCCAGAUCACUAGCGCAGUAAUAGUGUUGUGCUCACCACAAAUGCUACCAUAACACAUGCAUAUACCUUGCCUGUUAUAUCGUCAUAGUCUUCUGAGUUUUACAAAUUACAGGAUAAAUUUAAAUACCCAGUCCUUAAAUAUUACUCUCCUCAAAGAGGGCCACGACCUUGUUGUGGUUUGAGGCUUGCGUGCCUCGAUGACCCGGAGAGCUAUGUUGGCUGGACUCAGGGCUUUAUGAUUUGGCUGUUGGUAGGGUCACCCAUGUCAAAGAAUAGAGGCCAGAUUCAGAGUGGUCCACCAGUACUCCAGGUUCAGGGAGUUCAGCUCAGGGUGAACAACCCUGACUGGUCAAACAAAAUUGUAAUGGAAACAGCAUGAAGAAUCCCUCUGCAUGUGAGUGUGACAGAAUACCCGAGUCUCCAUCUGGACUUGUGUGACUGACACUAGUGAAACCAGAGGGACGGGGAGUGACUGACAUGAUGAAGGAAGCCCCGAACACCACCGGAGAUGGAGGAGCUUCAUUGCUGCUCUAAAUGCUGGCGGUGUAAUGGGCAGUCAGUCAGUAAGUAAUGUUACUGUGUACAAUAGGCUGUCCUGAAAUACACACCAACUAGUCUGGCAUGGUUUAAUAAAUUAGUGUAAGAAAUUGCUUAUCAUAUGUACUGACUGUAAUAUAAAUGCUUGUGGUCAUGAAUAUUGACAAGUUAGCUCAGGGGUCGGCAACCCGCGGCUCCGGAGCCGCAUGCGCCUCUUUCAUCUCUGUGCUGCAGCUCCCCGUGGUUUGUUAGUUUUUGAAAUGUAAUUCGAAAUUUGAAGAUUAUGGUGAUCUUGUACAAUCUAAAUAAAACGUUGUGGAGACCCCAUUUCCUGGCACAUCCGAACCGGCUCACAAUUAGCCACCAUUCCGGCUAAGGGAGAUAGCCUACAGGGGUUUGUGAGUACGUGUCUUUUGGAGCAUCCGUGCCCACGGGGACGGGUUGAGGGAGGCUCUAAAGCAAGGCUGUUUAGUUCGAAUAAAGUUACCUUUGACUGCAGUGUCUUUAUUUUAGCACUGCGUGUAGCACACCGCUAAAACGUGUUUUUUUAUCGCUAUUAAUAUACGUCACCACUGCCAAUGCCUGACACCCGCCAGUGCGCGCUUUCUUUUAAUUCUUCGAUCCAAGGUAGGCUAACUACGGAAUAACCUUCAACCCAACGUCUUUUUUUCGGAGUUCAAAAUGUUUUUGUUGCAUGCAGAAAUGUAAUUUCGUUUUCACUGCAGGAGUUCAUCAAUUUCAUAAAUACAACACAUUAUAGUUUGUUUAUACAUAGCAUAAAGGCAAAAAAAACCCGUUGUAUGCAGUGUUAUUUCAUUUUAAAUGUCAAACGGGUUUUGUGGCUCCCAGUGUUUUCUUUUCUGUGGGAAAUGGGUCCAUAUUGGCUCUUUCAGUGAUAAACGUUGCCGACCCCUGAGUUAGCUUUUAUUUAUUUAGUGUAAUCAGUAAAUACAAGUCUCAACUUUAUUAAAAUUUAACCUGGUUUACUAUCACCAUGUUGGAGAUGCUGAAGUGUUGGAAUGGACAGUAGUUUUGAUGGACUGUCGAUGAUGGUCUCUGCAAGAUUUGCUGUUGCUUGCAUGGUGCGGGGAGGGGGGGGGGGUUGAUGCCUUUGCUGGGGCAAGUGGGGGGAAGGGGAGGGUUGAUGAUUUUGUUGCUGCUUGUUAGGGGGAGGGAGACUUUGGGGUUCUAAUGUUUUCUGUCAUUCAUUCUUUGCGUUUUUCUGUUUUGUGAAUGUCUGUGAAGAAUAAGGAUUUCUGGUUGUAUACUGUAUACACUCUAAUAUUCAAUUGGGUCAUAUUGCGGGUCACAUAGCAUUAAUGGAAAUCAAUAAACAGCCUUCACUUCAGACUGCGGCCCUCCUUCAGGUCUGGAACGGAAGAGGGAAGAUGGCAGAAUGUGAACGGAGGUGGGGAAGGAGGAGAGCUCGAAGUUGAUAGGUGAAGCCAGGUGGGUAGGAAGGAAUCUAAUAGGAAAGGAGAGUGGACCAUUGUAGAAAGGGAAGGAGGAGGUGACAGACAGCUGAGAAGAGGUAAAAGUGAGUGUGAGGAAUAGAAGAAGAGGAAAAGGGGACUUUUUUUAGCAGAGGGAGAAGCCAUCAGGAUGGAGGCUACUCAGUUGGAAUAUAAGCUGUUGCUCCAACCUGAGGAUGGUCUCACUUUGACAUGAGGUGGCCAUGGACUGACAUGUUGGACUACAGUGAGAAUGAGUAAAUGGGAAAUAACCAAAUUUUGUGAUGUUAACAAUACACAAGUAAAUUAAAUAAUCUUUAACAUCAACUGCUAAAGUUCAAGGUGAUUUAGCGAGGGACAGCAUAGAAUUCAUACACAUGGGGUACAACCAGAAUUCCAGUUGCAUCUGGUGAGAUGUCGAUAUCCUUGUGAUCGAUGACAGGCUUGAAGACAAAGUUCUGCAGGAGAGUGGUCAAAAAAAGGAAGAGUUCCGUGCGAGCCAAAGAUUCUCCCAGGCACAUUCUUUUCCCUGCAAGAGUACAGAAAUGUUCUUGAAAACAAAUUUGUAAAAGGUUUAAUAUCCAUUGAAAAAAUCAGAUGGCAGAGAUGAAGAAGAUAUUCCUGAAGCAUUGAGAGUGUACCUUCAGGCUUCUGUACCUCCUUCCUAAUGGUAACGAUGAGAAGGAGGCUUGAUCAGGGUGAUGGGGUCCUUAAUGAUGGACACCACCUUUCUGAGACGUGGCUCCUUGAAGAUACCUUGGAUACUAUGGAAACGAGUGACCAUGAUGAUGCUGACUGAGUUUACAACUCUCUGCAGUUUACGUCGAUCCUGUACAGUAUCAAGCUCCCCUACCAGAUGUUGAUGCAGCCAGUUAGAAUGUGCUCCACAGUAGAAACUGUAGAAAUUUGAGGAUAUUUUUGGUGUCAGACCAAAUUUCCUUAAAAUUCCUAAUGAAAUAUAGCCAUUGUCUUGCCUUCCUAUGAGCUGCAUCGAUACGUUGUGCCCAGGUUAGGCCUAUUUUUUACUUACAUACAUAGCUUAUUUCUGAUUGCCCUGGAACUAAUUAGCUUCCUUGCUGUGUCAGUAUCACAUUGAGGCCACACCAAGAUUUCUUUUCUCACACUAAAAAGGACAUUUAUUUAUUUAUUUAGUGAUAUGGAGCAGGCCCCUUCGAGACACACCAUCCCAACAACCUGUGACAACCCCCAUUAACCUUGCCCCAAUUACAGGAAUAUUUACAAUUACCAAUUAACCUACCUGGUAUAACUCUGGACAAUGAGAAGAAACCAGAGAACCAGGGGAAAAUUCCACACGCAUUCCACUGGGAAGAUGUACAGACUCCUUACAAAGCAGCACCAGAAUGGAACUCUGAACCUUAGAACACCCAGUCUGUAAUGGCAUUGUGCAAGAUGCUAUGCUACUGUGGCGCCCAAAUUCAUCAACCAGUUCAUUUUUAGCCACUUCAUAGCUGGCAUUAUUGAACUAACUCUUUAAUUUCCACUUUAUUGAAUUACUAAAAUUUAAAUUCUGCUGCUCUCAUGGUUGGAUCCAAACUCAAAUUCUGAAUCAAUAACCUAGAUCACCGGCUACUAGCACAGUAAUCAAUAACCAAUAUAUUUUGCCCUUGUUCCAUCAUCAGGGACCCCCACCACCCUCUUCUCACUUCUGCUCACUUCUCACUGCUGCCACCAGGAAGAAGAUACAGGAGCUUCUGGACUCAUACCAAACGAUUCAGGAACAGUUAUUACCCCUCAACCAUUCGGCUCUUGAACCACUUGCCCCGUUAUUGAAAUGUUCCCACAACCGAUGGACUGACUUUCAAGGGCCCUUCAUCUCAUGCUCUCAAUAUUUAUUGCUUAUUUAUUUGUUAUUAUUAUUAUUAUUAAAUGUAAUUAUUUUUGUAUUUGCAGAGCUUGUUGUCUUCUGCAUUCUAGUUGAACAUCUGAGUUAGGCAGUCUUUCAUUGAUUCCAUUAUGGUUAAAAUUCUAUAGAUUUAUUGUCUAUGCUAGUAGGUAAAUAAAUUUCAGGGUUGUAAAUGGUGAUAUGUAUAUGCUUUAAUCAUAAAAUUUACUUUGAACUUGUGAUUCAUCAUGGAAUACACCUUUGAGAAAGUACAAACUUAUUUAUGUGAUGUUUCUUAAAUUAAAUUGGAAAGCUCAGAGAUCUUAAACGUUGGGUGUUGAGGUGUAUUCUAGAGAUAUGGAAUAUAGAAAACAUUAAUUUCAACAGCAACCAGUCUUUAGAUAUGAAUGUGGAUUUUAGAUUGAAUUUAAAAUUCAGCACAAAACAAUGGUCUUCCAGGAAAUGUAGACUGGGGUUGAUUUUAAUCCAGGAAACACCCCGCUUACCUGACAUACUUGUAUACGGAUGAAUGCAAUGGUGAUUAGUAUUCAAUCUGUGGUCCGGAGUGUUGGUGUGAAGAUUUAGGUGUUUAAAAAUAAUAUUGAUUUAUUGUUUGAUUGAGAUACUGCACGGAAUAGACCCUUUCAGUCCUACGAGCUGCUUUACCCAGCAAUCCCCCAAUUUAAUCCCAGCCUAAUCAUGGGACCAUUUACAAUAACGAAUUAACCCACUACAGUAAGUCUUUGGACUGUGGGAGGAAACAGGAGCGCCCAGAGGAAACACACACCAUCAUGGGGAGAAUAUACAAACUCUUUAGACAGUGGUGGGAAUUGAAUUCGAGCCACUGGUACUGGAAAUUAUUGUGCUGACCACUACACUACCAUUCCACCCUAAGUGAAGCAUUGUCAACCCAAUGUAUUGAAAUAAACAAUGUUAUUGUAAACAUUGAAA